CCUACGGGCGGCAGCAGUCGAGAAUCAUUCACAAUGGGGGAAACCCUGAUGGUGCGACGCCGCGUGGGGGAAUGAAGGUCUUCGGAUUGUAAACCCCUGUCAUGUGGGAGCAAAUUAAAAAGAUAGUACCACAAGAGGAAGAGACGGCUAACUCUGUGCCAGCAGCCGCGGUAAUACAGAGGUCUCAAGCGUUGUUCGGAAUCACUGGGCGUAAAGCGUGCGUAGGCUGUUUCGUAAGUCGUGUGUGAAAGGCGCGGGCUCAACCCGCGGACGGCACAUGAUACUGCGAGACUAGAGUGAUGGAGGGGGAAGCGGAAUUCUCGGUGUAGCAGUGAAAUGCGUAGAUAUCGAGAGGAACACUCGUGGCGAAGGCGGGUUCCUGGACAUUAACUGACGCUGAGGCACGAAGGCGAGGGGAGCGAAAGGGAUUAGAUACCCCUGUAGUC
rnacentral:rRNA from 1 species